rnacentral:lncRNA from 1 species
UUAUAAUGUACUGUACACUGACCAAUUGCCCCGUACAUCGGCGAUCUACAUUGAAAAACGUCAGUCCGUCGGUGAGACUCGGCCGGCAAGUGUUGGCCCGGGGCAUAUAAAUUGCUACCUCGAUCUCGUUUAAACGGUGUACCUAUCGAUGAACAUUUUGCGUUCAAUUUCAUCGGUCGAUGAAACGAUCCCGAGAGAAAAUCUCCGCUGUUUUUACCCGGAAGCCCAAGACCUUGAAGCCCGAAAAUGAAAAUCCGAAGGGUAUUUCAUCGAUAUUAAAAUAGCAGGCAAAACAGCAUCGUGUGGAUAACCCGCAUCGCCCUAAAAACUGCGUUUCAUCACUUUCGGCCGUUUCUCGACAAGCACAAAAAUUGUGGUUAAAUCUGAAACCGGAAACUACGCUACUAAGGGUGGUUCGCCUUGGGCGAAAAUCGACCUUUUUUUAUCAGCUGCAUGGAAUCUGCCCGCGCGAUUUCCAGCCCACUUUACUUUUUCAAGUACCUACUCUAUGAACUCACCCUCUCCUCCCCAUCUUCAUCCCACCUAAACAUAUAUACUUACCUAAAUUUCACGGAGGAUGUAAGCUCUUUGUAGAAAUUUCAUUCGUAUACUCUUCGCCAGGGUUUGCAUACCGGGUAAGCAUCCUGAAAUAAAUUUAAUUCCUUGAUCAA